UGAAAGAGAAAUUAAGACUACCUCAGACAAACAAACUGAGUGAAUUCAUUACUAGCAGAUCCACCCACUAAGAUGCACUAAAGGAGUCCUUUAGGCUGAAAUAAAAUGGCACUAGAGAGUAACUCAAAUUCAUACAAAGAAAAACAACUAAGGCAAAUUUAAAGUCAGUGUGUAAUGCCUUUCUUCUCUCUGAUUUAAAAGACAACCGCAUAAAAACACAAGCUCUCUUCUUUUGUCUGCUGCCAUAUGAGACGUGCCUUUCACCUGCCACCAUGAUUGUGAGGCCUCCCCAGCCAUGUGGAACUGUUCUUUAAUUCAAGGCUUGCACAGCCACUGCAAAUGAGGAGAAAAUCGUGGGACAGUCACACUCAGACACCAACACCACUUCUG